rnacentral:rRNA from 1 species
UACUAGCGGUCCGAGUCGCAGCCAUUUUUAUUGGGUCUAAAACAUCCGUAGCUUGCUUAGUAAGUUUCUUGUGAAAUUCUGUUCCUCAAGUUCAGAGCGCGCAAGAAAUACUGCUGAGCUAGAGACUGGAAGACGUAAGAAGUAUGUUCAAAGUAGCGGUAAAAUGUGUUAAUCUUGAACAGACUCACAACAGCGAAGGCAUCUUACGAGGACAGUUCUGACAGUAAGGGAUGAAGGCUAGGGGCGCAAAACGGAUUAGAUACCCCCGUA